ACAACGACGCUAGUAUCGGCGCUGUCCGCCUCCCAAGGCUCAACGACCUCCCCGUCUGCGCGAGUGUCGCCGCAGCCGCCACCCUUGACGCCGCCCCAGUAUCCUGCGCCUCCACGGCCCCCUAGUCGAAACGCAAGAAGUUUCUCCGCGCCGCUACUACUUUGCAUGCGAAGUCAAAACAGCUUCCGACGACCAACUCUCUCUCCGUUUGGCUGGCAAGGGAAGUUGAACAGAGGCCGGCAAACAUCUGUCGUAACGUCUUCGCUGCAUGGGGCGCGCGUUCCCUGUCAGUUAUGACAAAAAGCUGCAACAUCCUGGAAAACGGCGGUGCAAGUGGGGAUGAAGCGCGUGUCGCGAGGGCGAGAGGAAGCGGACGCGGAGCAUUACCGAGCCUCAUCCUCGCUAAUGGAACGCCCUUGUCGAGAGUGUCACCACCUCGCGCGGGCUGGCCAGUGCGGAUCAACGAGGCGACACUUACUACCCCGAGUCAGUCAAUUCAUUAUCAGCAGCAACAACAACAUCACCACCACCAGAAUCAGCAUACAUCGAGUCCAAGCACACAGAGAGCUGUCGAACAAUGGGCUAGCGAGCGGGCAACAUCGUCGGUUUUGUCGGUUGGUCGUUCCGCAUCACCAUCCUCGCCAGAAACAGCAAGGAGACCGGGAACAGGAUCGUCUAGAAGAGUUUUCUCGUCGUCGAGUCGAGUUAGGCCAGGAGGCGGAGGUGGGGGUGACGGAAGGGGAGCAGAAAGAAGCACAGAGAUCGGUAACGGUAUCAAUUUCACGAAUCACUGGCAGGAGGAAGAAGAGCUGGAGGCGAAGAAGAAGGAGGAGCACGGACGGAAGCGUUGCGUGGACACAGCGGCGCAUUGUCAAGCCGAGCAUCUUGAACUGAGAGGUCGGCCGAUGUCGCAAAACAAUGCGAUCGCGCCGCUCUCGCGGCCACCCUCCUCGCAGACGAACGUAAAUGACACCACCGAUGCCGUAGCGAACAGCAACGUUGACGAUGGAGAAGCGCAUUCCGUUCAAAAUGUCACCACCACUGGUCGCGUCCAUGAUCACAAUCGGCCGUUUCCUCCGCCAAGAUUGCCGACCGUGCACGUUGCCACUGCCUCGACAGCGCCCCCUCUCGCGGCAUCGUCGAAUCCGAGAGUGUUGGUCACAGCUCCGCUCAGUCCACUCUCGAACACCUUCCGAAGCAGACCGAGAAACGUGGAUACAUCGACGGGCGAGACGAAUGCGCGGGGAUUGGUAUCGAACGACACGCCACCUAGAAGUCCUAUAAGCGAAGUGAGUUUGACCGUGCCCAGGCCAGACGGAGAGAGGGCGAUCAACGAAUACGUCGAGGCGCCGUUCAAACAUAGCAACCAACAGGAGCGACGGGUCUUCGAGGAUGAGAACAAACGGGGGAUCGGUGCCGAUUGCCCGAAGAUCGACAGGAGGCAUCGGCAGAAAGGUGGUGAUGCGUCCGUCGCGGCGACGCAUCGGCUGCACGCGAGCAGGACUCAAGCGUUUCGUGGUUUGAUCGCGAGCAGUGGGACGAAUGCGACCGCGUCCGCAGGCUCGAUCGCCGCGAACACCGCGACACCGAAUGCGGUGACCAAGCAGCCGGUCUCGUUCACCAAAGAACCGGCUAAUAGCCUCGCUUCUAGGACUUAUGAUCCGGCCGGUUUGUCGAUAAUGUGCAAUUUCUGCGGUAGAUGUCGUUGCGAGUCUUGUCGGGAACCGCCUCCAUUGCCCAGCAAAUGGCUGUGCGACAACAAGUGUUUCUGUUCCGCCGAUACGAUUCUCGAUUACGCUUCUUGCCUGUGCUGCGUGAAAGGACUGUUUUAUCAUUGCGUAGACGGGAAUGGGUCAGGUGGAAUCGAUGGGGAGGCGGCUGCUAGUUGUGCGGACGAGCCGUGCUCCUGUACGGGAAAUAGGAGAGUCUCCAGGUGGGCCUGCCUCGGCGCCUUGACACUCGUCAUGCCCUGCUUAUUGUGCUACUGGCCGUUCAAAGGAUGUGUCGCGGCAUGUGAGGUGUGUUAUGCACGGCACGCAGCCCAGGGAUGCAGAUGUAAUCCGAACACGACUGGGAACGCCGGAAACAGACAUCAUCCGAUCGCGAACGAUAUCGGGGAUUCGAGGGAUCCGGAGAAAAGGUUACUCGACCCUGUCACGCCGGAACUCUAAUUGGAAGAGAUACGACAACGCAGUAAUACCAAUACCACCCGCAGUGUUAUCUCUCACGUAGGGGGGGACACAAAAAUUGCUCUUCUACGCACAGAGAUUGUCCGACAGGAGAGGGGAGCAAAAACGAAAAUUGCAUUAAGUACAAGAGUUGCAUUUAAGUCGAGAAACGAUAAUCGAGAAUGACGAAUUUGUACGUCUAACGUCGCGAGUGUUUUAUUUAUUAUUCUUCCAUGCGCGCGCGAAAAUGCGAAGCGAGCGAGAGAGAUUGAGAGAGCAAGAAAGAAAGAACGAAUGGAAGAACGCGAGAUCGUGUCACGGGGGAGGGAGAUGAUGCUAAAAAGGAUAUAGUGGCGUAGGAAAGAUGAUAGAAUGAUAGCGAGGAGAAAGGGCGAGAAAGAUGACAAGGUACGCGAGCUUGCGUAUUAACGCAGAAACAUACCACUUACGUAUAGAUAGGUCUAUACACGAUAGAAUAUAUAAAUAGUACCGCGCACACACAGAGAACGAGUGCGAGCGUGACCAAGCGAAUGUGUGGAACGUGAACGUGAGAGAGUGAGAGAGUGAAUAGAAGAACCACUAAAGUAUAUUAAACGCGAGCACGUGUACGCGCGUAUACACGCGUUUCUGCUGUUACUUCUUGCUUGAAGCGCGUGUAUGCGCGCAUCUACACUUAGAUUAUAGAUAUGUAUAUUGUAUAUUAUAUUUGUAUAAAGAAAAAUCUUUUCUACGGUUAAUUUAUUCGUGGCUGAAUUGCCAAGUAACACAUAUAUAAAGUUUCGCAGUAAGAGGAGCACGACACGGAGAAAAGAGGCGAGACGAGAGAAGGCCGAGCGAAGACUGGGAUUAUUUGCAAAAAUUAUUUCCAGUCUCUCACCGCUGCGAUAGGAAACGCAUAAAGAGUAUCGGCCGUAAAGAGGAAGAAAGAGGGGAAAGAAAGCAGGAAAGGGCGGGGCAGGGGGAAGGAAAGCUCUGAAAAGAAGCAUUGUCCGUAUUUCCGAAUGUUUUCCUCGGCAUAUGAUGUAUACGCUUUUAUACUCGUUAACAGUGGAAUUGUAUCGAGCGCGCGAGGCCCUGUCGAGCGUUAGAGAGCGUGAUAUGACACGAGAUCGAGAUAAUGCACGCGCGUUCGGGUUGCGUGAGAGCGAGAGAACUGUAAAUCUGUAAGAAUGAACGUUUGCGUUUAUGUGUGUAUGUUAAGUAUGUAUGCGUAUGUGGGUGUGCUUCAUGGGGUCGACGAGAAUGCGGGCAGAUGGAAAAAGGACAAUUGCGUGGGGGGCAUAAGCGCGAGGAGAAGAAAACACAGAUCAGGAGGAGGGAGUGGGGAGAAAGAGCAACGCACGCCUGAAAUCUCUUCUACUAUUAUCUAGUCGUGCGAGUUUAAUUAAAUAUCGUUUCGUUAGGGAACGGGGGAAUGACAAAAGCGAUACAUGCAUGCGUGAUGGUUGCUAAACUGAUGCUGUUAUUGGCUCCGCUCUCUGCUUUACAAGGAGAUUGGAUUUGGACGAAGGAAAUUCGCGUUAACUGGAUCUUUUUCUUCUUUUUUUCUUUUUUCCUUUUCUUUUCCUUUCUUUUUUUUUCUCUCUCUCUCUCUCUUAACAAACGUUGACUUAACUUAUAUAUACAGGGAUAAUCGUUUUCCUCAUUAGUUCAAGUCUACUUCUCAGGCAAGAUUUAGAAAAUAAUUAACGCUUUGAGAUUCUUUGAUGUUGGAGCUGCCACUGCAGCCCGCAACGGCGUUUAAUUGCACGGUAACAGCGCUUCCCACGCGGACGGAAUUCACCGAACGAAGGUGUGUUAACUUUCCAUUCCCGAGCAGCUUGAUCGUUGAAGAAUGUACCACGCUGUCGAUGUUCCACGAGGACACACACAUCGUCGUCUUUAUGAUCGUACGAUUGUUUCGUUGUCGAAAUUUAUUAUCUGAAAUUAUUUUUUUUUUAAUCAAAUAUUCUAUAAAAUUAUAUCAUUUUUCAUUUUUGCAUAUUUAAAUAUCGAAAGCGUUACGAAUGAUUGAACGUAUAUCAUUGAUCGUAAACGAAGUCGACAGCGAGUAAGGAUUGUUAGAAGUUCAUAAGGUACGAAUGAGAAGAAAGGAAUCAAAAUGUUCGAAAAUAAUGUCACGAAAAAAGCGAUUGUUCGAAACGAUGAUUCUUCAAACUACUCGUUCGGCUUCGCUCAUCGCGAAGAAGUAGCGAGAAGUGAGACGAAAUUAUUACCAUCGAAAAAUCAAUAUGGCGACAAAAUAUCGAACGUCAAAUGAAUCGUGACGCAUCUACAUUCAUACCUUUAUUCUUCCUAUGUUGAGGGAAUAAGAGAACGCAUGGUACAUAAAGAACGGAGAUUGAUCGAUAAUUGAUAAUUUUAAAUUCAUUGAUCGGGUUAGACUUUCACCAGCCAAGAAUCGUUUACGUAAAUAAGUAAUACUAGUUUAAAAGCUCAAGAAUAGGCAAUCGAAUUUGAUUGGUCGUUUCUAAUAGAUUUAAUAUACGAAAUAAGAACACUGAUCGAAAGUGUCACCAUCUACAGAUAAGAUCAUAUAAUACCAUGUGAGCAGCAAGCGAGUAAACUAUACAACAUUUAUUUAUUACAUACUCGAACUUUUGUUGCGGAUACUAUAUGCUCGAGUCUUAUCCCCACCAUUGCAAAUUCUUUUUAGUGAAGUGUAUAAUAUCGUACCGAAAUAAUAUAUACGUAACGAAUUUUUUGAAAUAUACAAGUUUUCAAUUAAAUCUUUUGCUUAGUUCUCAUUACCUACCAUUUAUUAUUGUGAGCAAAAAUAAAAUAAGGUUAGAAUUAUAUAUAUUCCGAUCUUAUAACGAACGUAUAACGAAUAAAUAUUGUAUAUCUUUCUUAACUUCUAUAUUUCAAGUGUCAAUUCUUGAGCCUGAACUAGUGUAUUACGUUCAUGUUGUGAAUAUAUUUUACGUAACAAAAGAAAGAACGAAAGUGUUUCACAGAGACGCUGAGAAAAGUCGAAUUGGAUUUUUGAAUGUUUAUUAAGAUUCGAUUGAAUGAAUCGAUGCAAGGGGAAAGAAGUUUGCUACAAUUUUUAAUUAGAAAGUAAAUGUGCGACAAUCCCAUUGAUGUGUUUGUAUAUACCUACGCACACGUCUGUAUGAAUAUAUAUGUGUGGUUCGAUGUGUGUGCGCGCGCGCGUAUCUCGCCAAGCGAAAAGAAAAAAAAAUAUAUUUUGAUCAAUCUCUUCUACGAUACGAACGAGCUUUCGUUGCAUUAUUAGGAUCAUUAUCGUGUGAUUUUCCUUUACGAAGCUUGAUCUUCAGUGAAAUUGUAAUUGCAGAGCAUCGACAUAAUUUUAUGAUAUAAAUAUUAUCUUACGUACAUGGACGUACGAUAUUAAAAACGAAAAAAAAAAAGAAAAAAAUAACGUGGUAUAAAAAAAAAUACCAGAAGGAAAGAUAUCAAUUCGGUGUAUUAAUCCCCCCCCCCCCCAAAUCUCAUGGACGAUCGAUACAAAUUCGCCUCAAACUGAACGAUCUUUCUACGAUUUUGAUAAUAAUAUAACGCGAUGGAUAUAUAAAAUAAAACGGCAAAACGAAGGGAAAAGAAACAGAAAAGAAAAUGAAAACGAAAAAAAAAAAAAAAAGAAAGAAAGAAACAGGAGAAUAGAAAAGAACGAAAAAUUCCAUUACUUCCGGUUGAUGCGAAUUCGUUACGUCCAUAGGAAUGCGUUGACGCACAUGUUGUUAUCUAAUUGUUAGUAGAUUCAAGUUUAUACCGGCAAUUGUUAAUAAAGUUAGUAAGCAAAUA